GACGAACGCUGGCGGCGUGCUUAACACAUGCAAGUCGAACGGAAAGGCCCUGCUUUUGUGGGGUGCUCGAGUGGCGAGCGGGUGAGUAACACGUGAGUAACCUUCCCUUGACUUUGGGAUAACUUCAGGAAACUGGGGCUAAUACCGGAUAGGAGCUCCUGCUGCAUGGUGGGGGUUGGAAAGUUUCGGCGGUUGGGGAUGGACUCGUGGCUUAUCAGCUUGUUGGUGGGGUAGUGGCUUACCAAGGCUUUGACGGGUAGCCGGCCUGAGAGGGUGACCGGCCACAUUGGGACUGAGAUACGGCCCAGACUCCUACGGGAGGAAGCAGUGGGGAAUAUUGCACAAUGGGCGGAAGCCUAAUGCAGCAGCGCCGGGUGCGGGAUGACGGCCUUCGGGUUGUAAACCGCUUUCGCCUGUGACGAAGCGUGAGUGACGGUAAUGGGUAAAGAAGCACCGGCUAACUACGUG
rnacentral:rRNA from 1 species